rnacentral:rRNA from 1 species
UAGACCCGAAACCAGGUGAUCUACCCUUGGUCAGGUUGAAGUUCAGGUAACACUGAAUGGAGGACCGAACCGACUUACGUUGAAAAGUGAGCGGAUGAACUGAGGGUAGCGGAGAAAUUCCAAUCGAACCUGGAGAUAGCUGGUUCUCUCCGAAAUAGCUUUAGGGCUAGCCUCAAGUGAUGAUUAUUGGAGGUAGAGCACUGUUUGGACGAGGGGCCCCUCUCGGGUUACCGAAUUCAAACAAACUCCGAAUGCCAAUUAAUUUAACUUGGGAGUCAGAACAUGGGUGAUAAGGUCCGUGUUCGAAAGGGAAACAGCCCAGACCACCAGCUA